UAUGCAGGGAAGCUGUGGCCCAACCCUCACAAAAGUGGAGAGAUGACUGUACAUAUACAUGGUGAAAGGGCAGGAAACUCAUCUGGUGCUGGGAUGGAUUAAAUUAUGGCCUUUUGCCACUAUACUCAGAGAAGGGGAUGGUUCCUUUUUUAAUAACACUUCCUUUUCUUAUAAGGUACAGUUCUCACACUGACCCACUGAUAAGAGCUGGGAAGCUAAGCCAAGAGUUAGCCCUGGUUAAUACUUGUAUGGGAGACUGCCAAUGAAUACCAAGUAAUAUAGGCUAGCUUUCAGAGAAAGGAACUGGUAAGCUCACUUGUGAGUUUUCCUUGCCUAAGGAACCCUUAUGAAAUUUAGAGGGUGCCAUAAGUAGAAAGGCUACUUGUAGGUACAUAAAUAUGCACAGAGAGGCAAAUUUAAGCUCAUACAGUAGGUCCAAUCUGGAGAAGGGCCUCACCUGCUUCAAUCAAAUCAAUAGUCUGCAGAGAUUACAGUAGGGCUGAAAUUACGCAGUCAUGUUUUCACAAUUUGGUGUGCCAGAGGGUAUUAAGCCAGAAAAGGAGUUCAAAGUGAGAUGGUACAGAUUGUAUUAACCUUCACCCACAAACGCACACAUACACUUUCUCUCAUAAUUCAAAUUUAGUUUUGAGAUGCAGUACUAAACUUUACUGAACCUUGAACAAGAGGCUACUUUCCUCCCAAAUGGUAUUUCUUUAAAUAUCCUGGCCUUUAAGUUUAAUGCCUGGGGAAACUACCACCCAGGAGUCAACACGCUGAGUGCUGACUUGUCCUCUCCUCUCCAGCAGGCAAUAAUAUAGUGGAGCAGAGAAGAUCAGGAUGAGCUGGCUGCCUCAAGAUAAAAGAUCUCAGAUGACAGGGAAUUGCAAUGACAUCUUUGAUGACACAGCUAAACAUAUUUGCUGCCUUUAAGUGUUGGAUGACAAAGCAAUAUAUCUCUGUAACCCUUGAUUGUAAUACAUUAUAGAUCGACAUAAAAAAAAUUGUUCGUGGAAAGAUUGAGUGGAAUUUGGAGUGCCAUUUUGGUUUUUUUGCCUCAGGCAGCAAACCAUCUUGGGCCAGUCUUGGGAACAGAGUGAGCCAAACACCAACCUAAUAGCCUCAUAUCACAUUUCCCUCAGUAGAUGUUACAGGGUGAAGGGGAAGAACUCUAUGUAUGCCAGGGAUGUUUUCAUCAGCAAAUACACGUUUUAGGUAAUGUUUAGUCUAAGCCAGAGGCAGGAGACCACACACAUUCCCACACCAGGUAAUCAUGUGUUUGUAAUUUUUGUUGACAAACCCAACUGAAAGUUACUUUGAAAUGUCAUUCUACUCCAUUUGAUUAAAAGAAACAAAGACAUAAGUCCCCUUCAUUGCACUACCAUUUAGAAAUUGCCAGCUCCCCCCUUCAGAAUUAAACUUUAUGGAGACAGCCAGUCUAAUCCUGCUCAGAUGAAGAAGUGAACUCAUUUGCCCUCCUUUAGAAAACCCUUUGUAAGUUUUAUAGUAUUGGGAAGAAAAACCAGUGGUGUGUGAAAUGGCCUAGAAUAGGUUUAUAAUGGAAGCGCCUAAAAAUAAAUCGACAACAGUAGGAGAAAAUUAAAUCACUCCACAGCCAGUCUUUGUAUCACUCAUAAUUACAACCCCAUACAAUAUUCUGGUGUCAUUAUUAUUUUUUUAAAAAGAUUUUUGGAAGCACCACACAAAAUCUUCAAUUCAACCUAGAUUCCUUUUUAAAGAAAGUAUGGCAAUCAGUUUUGCAACAAAAACAAGCUGUAAAAAAACCACAGAAUGACCAGAUGGAAAAGCAUUUACACCACAGAGCAUGGAAUUCCCUGAGAAACCAGACAAAUGAAAUCAGAGAAGUAGAAACUCAUAUGAUGAAGCAGAGUUAUAAAUUACACACUGAAAAUCUACAGGGCACAAAAGGGUUUGCUAAAUAUUUUGCAAAAAAAGGGAACACACCCGUCAUUAAAUGUUUACUGUGCUUAUGAAUCUGGUACAAAGGAAGAAAAUGUAAGGAUGAAAAAAUGAGGGCACUUCCAGACAGUGUCAAAUUGUGGGAUUUAGAAGAGGGACAAAACAAAAACAAAAACCCGGGACCUCAGAGCAGGUCCCCACACAGACAUGCCAGUCCCAGGCGCUCUUUCCCCGCCGUCCUCAAUGGGCUACCUUCUGUGUCUCAGGAUAAAAUAGAAGGCGGGCAGGGUCAUCCACUGGAAGUUUUUAUUUAAAAAUUUGGUUAUGCGCUGUUCCAUCUAUGCACACAUGCGCAUCUCUAAAUAUAAUAAAUACAAACAUAUUUGCAUGUGCACAUAUACGAAUCAGCACAUAACAGAGGGAUUUUUUUAAAAAAAACUUCAGCCGGAUUUCUCCCUUCCCUAAUUAUUUAUUAAAGCUCUGUUUACAGUGUAAAAUAAGAGUUUCAGAAAGUUCGAAUGCCUCUCUGUUCUUGCUUCCUAUCAAUCAGCUGUACAUUUGUUUGACAGCCCAAUCAGCUGAUCAGCUGUUUUGGGCUUUUAAAAAGGGACGGACAUCAGUUAGAGCAGUCUCCACAGGAGGGAGGGAAAGAAAACACAUAUUUUCUGGCAUGCAGGGUCACACAGACAUACAAAGAUGCACACCUUUCAGCCAGAAAUGAGAUAAAAGGGGACCUUUUAUCCUGUGGUUUCGCUCCUUUGUAGCGAAUCAUCACGAGUGACAUCAUCUAGCCACCCUCCAUUUUGAAACGGGAGCUCUCGUGAUUAAGGUACUGUGUGGAUGGGGCCUGAGAAAUAUUAAUUCUGGAGAAAUUAAUUUUUUAAGGAAUCAAAAUAUGGCAUUUAAAGUUUUAGAAACAGUUUCAAAUGCAACAAGAGAAAUAAGGUUGAACAAACAUAGUUGAGAACACACACAUUUGCGCAGUGAUUAGAUUAUAUGUUUUUCUGAAAUUGUAAACUUAGUGAUAAAAGUGGAAUUCUGUGUUGAUUUUCUGAAGAUCUUGUCCCAUUUUCUCUCCAAGCAGUACUCUUCAGGUCUGAUCAUAACAUUGUUUUCUGACACAAUCAAUCUGGCAGCCUCAAGAUCAAUGAACAGAAUUGGUCCAUGGCCAGAGGUGGCAACUUUGCUUAUUCAAGAAAGAAGGAUCUUUGCUCCGUGUUCCUGUAUCUUGCUUCAAGUAUCAGCCUUGCUGUGAAUCCAGUGGAAUAUUCCAGUGACUUUGCUGUUUGGAGUUUAUUCCAGUCGAGACCUUUGCCUUGGGUUUCAUCUUUGACUUUAUACCUUGGAACUAUUCCUGCAUUUGAAUCUUGUUUUAUGUGCCUUGUUUGUGGAUCAUCAUUGACUCUACACCUGGAACCACAUUGGAAUUAAUCCUGCACUCCAGUCUUGGUUUUCUAUGAUUAUCCUUGAUUCAUGUCUUGGGAAAUAAUCCAGUUUCAGACUAUGCUCUUUAAGUGGUUUUUAUAGACUCUUGUCUCAUGAACUUUAAGUACCUUGCUCUUUUGGAUUUAAACCUAAUUUACUGACUCUGAACUAUAUUUUGCUUUUACUUGCUUAUAAUAAUCAAUAAACAACUUGCUUAUA